rnacentral:lncRNA from 1 species
UGAGGAUGAUGACAAUAACACCAUCUGUUUCAAAGGUUUUUGUGAAGCUCAAAAGUCUUGUUGAGACAAGAACACAUUAGCACAGAGCUCAGUAGGCAGUAAAUGCUCAAUGAACACUAACUGUCACAAGCCAUAACACAUAAUAAAUAUUAUAACAUUACCCAGGGUUAUUUUGAGAAUUACAAGCCAGUAUUCCUUUUCCCAUAUUGAGAAAACUUGUUAAAUGUAGAAAAAUAGUAAUCACUAGCAACUAAGAUAAAUAAAACAAGAGGAUAAUCCUCACACAUGUACUGGAAUUCUUCAUAAAUAUAAUUGUUUAUUAAUUACUUUGCAAGUAUCACAGUUUUCAUGGAACAUUUAACUCCAUACCCAUUUUGCUCAUGAAGAAGGAAAAAAACAUAACCAAUUAACUUACCCGAAGUCAACCAAUUUAAAGUUGAAAAAGUCAAAUUUUAAGUCAAGGUGCUGCCUCGAGAUCCCAUGCUUUGACAUCCAAAUGACAGUUACUUCCUUUGGGUGAUAAAGAUAAAAUUAAAGUAUGAUAAAGAAACUAAAUACCAAAAGCUAUAUAUAAAUUAUCAUGCCACAAAUACUUUAUUAGAUAGUAAACACCAAAAAGAGUUGAAUAAAUGGUCUCAUGUAUUGAGAGAAAUUAUUUCUAAAGGCCAUCUAAUUGGUAUAGAUAGAGUUAUAAAUAAGAAAGAAUACAGGGGUU